UACGAAGGGGACUAGCGUUGCUCGGAAUGACUGGGCGUAAAGGGCGCGUAGGCGGACGGCUUUGUCGGGCGUGAAAUUCCAGGGCUUAACCUUGGGUAUGCGUUCGAGACGGGUUGUCUUGAGUUUGGAAGAGGGUCGUGGAAUUCCCAGUGUAGAGGUGAAAUUCGUAGAUAUUGGGAAGAACACCGGUGGCGAAGGCGGCGACCUGGUCCAAGACUGACGCUGAGGCGCGAAAGCGUGGGGAGCAAACAGG
rnacentral:rRNA from 1 species